CCUACGGGAGGCAGCAGUGAGGAAUAUUGGUCAAUGGGCGCGAGCCUGAACCAGCCAAGUAGCGUGAAGGAUGACUGCCCUACGGGUUGUAAACUUCUUUUAUCAAGGAAUAAAGUGAGGCACGUGUGCCUUUCUGUAUGUACUUUAUGAAUAAGGCUCGGCUAACUCCGUUCCAGCAGCCGCGGUAAUACGGAGGAUCCGAGCGUUAUUCGGAUUUAUUUUGUUUAAAGGGAGCGUAGAUGGGUUGUUAAGUCAGUUGUGAAAGUUUGCGGCUGAACCGUAAAAUUGCAAUUGAUACUGGCAGUCGUGAGUACAGUUGAGGUAGGCGGAAUUCGUGGUGUAGCGGUGAAAUGCUUAGAUAGCACGAAGAACUCCGAUUGCGAAGGCAGCUUACUAACCUGCCACUGACAUUGAUGCUCGAAAGUGUGGGUAUCAAACAGGAUUAGAUACCCGUGUAGUC
rnacentral:rRNA from 1 species